GACGAACGCUGGCGGCGUGCUUAACACAUGCAAGUCGAGCGGUAAGGCCCUUUCGGGGGUACACGAGCGGCGAACGGGUGAGUAACACGUGGGUGACCUGCCCUCAGCUCUGGGAUAAGCCUGGGAAACCGGGUCUAAUACCGGAUAUGACUCCAUGACGCAUGUUGUGGGGUGGAAAGCCUUGUGCGGCUGAGGAUGGGCCCGCGGCCUAUCAGCUUGUUGGUGGGGUGAUGGCCUACCAAGGCGACGACGGGUAGCCGGCCUGAGAGGGCGACCGGCCACACUGGGACUGAGACACGGCCCAGACUCCUACGGGAGGCAGCAGUGGGGAAUCUUGCGCAAUGGGCGAAAGCCCUGACGCAGCGACGCCGCGUGAGGGAUGACGGCCU
rnacentral:rRNA from 1 species